CAACUCUCAGGCUAGCCAACCAUACCAGCUUGAAGGUUUUGUGCUUCCUCUUUCGUUCCAAGUGUGUCAAGCGGUGUAGACGUAGUUUUGCUGCCGCAUCCACAAUGAGAGCUAAGUGGCGUAAGAAGCGUAUGCGAAGGUUGAAGCGUAAACGUAGGAAGAUGCGUGCGAGAUCUAAGUAAAUUUCUGGAACGUACGACUGAUUCCUCCCAUUGAAGUUUAAGAAUGGAAAAUCCAUAAUUCGUCAUUCACGUUGUUAGCAGGAACCUAGGCAUCAAGCAUGAGUCCUGGAUCAACAAACAGCAUUUCUCUUGGAAUUUCUAGUUUCAAGUCUCGACUGGCCUCAUUAAACCUGAUCGGCAUCCGAAGGAUUAACUAGCUGAGUUUUGAACUGACAUUGGAGUUCUAGUUUGUAUGAUCUGUGGUGCUUGCGCUCGAAUGAACUUGGCUCUUCAAUAAAGUGGCUGAGGUGUUAAUGGAA